GAGCAGCAACAACCACAGACAUUAGUAUUUUGAAAGACAUUUUCUGGCAAUUUCUGAAAAACACAUUUUGUAGCAUAAUGAACUCUUUCAAUAAGAAGGUGAGUUCGGCUAAUUUCAAGUAAAUUGUUAAAGAUAUUGGAAACUGCAUUGCAAAAAUAAUGAUUGCUACCUUACAGGUUUCCCAAACAAUCUCCAGCUGCCAUAGGAAAAAAAAAAAAAAACAUACUCCCGGCAUUUGUUGGGUCAAUGUUUCUGCUGAUGGGCUGUUCAGGAUCCAUAAACAAUUUUUUAUUUUAUUUUUUAUUUAUUUUUUUACAUCUACAUAGUAGAAAGCGUUUUAAUAUCAAAAAAUGACUUUAUUUUAUUGCUGUUAUGUACGAAGGUCAAACAUUUCUGUUUGCAGUUUAAACAGGAAUACACACUUCCAAACCACCUAAAUGUUUGUAGAGUAAAUUGUAAAGAGACUGUCCAGUGUUGACAAUUUCAAAUAACCUUUAGAGAACGAGCUUAGCUUAGCUGACGUAAGAUGCUGCAGUGUUGACGCUCGCAAAAAAAGAACUCACCUGGGUUUUGUUAUAUACUGGCUGGCAGUGGGGGCACCUCCAGUCAACAGAGUCAGCAGUGUGUGUGUAUGUCUGGAAUCAAGCGAGCUCGGUCAGAGUGGGAGUAGACCGAGGGGCCCUGUUCAGGCCGCAACACUGUGUGGAGUCUCUACGAAGUGCCUGUGGCGUCCCCAAACCAAGCCACAAAACCCCUGUGAAAUAAGAACAUUCUAGACAUUCUAAGAAUUGUUUUGGCUUCUGAACACCCCCAGCACAACAUAUCCGCCUGUCACAACACAAGAGCAGCAUUGUGCGAUAUGGAACAAUGGAUCCAGAGUGAGUAUCGGAAUGUUAUACAAGAAACCAACCAGGAAACAUGAACAAUUCCAUGUUGUUUGGCAAAACACUCCAAAACUUUAUCGACGUGCUGUCUAGAAACAGGUGGAUGAGGCGCCCUCCCCCACUAACUUACAAAGAUUUACCCAGAAAUCCACACCUGCAUUAACGUUCAACAUCCUGUUGGUAUGUCACACCCAAAGAGACGAAAGCUUUGUUUUUUCAGUGAUGCUGAAACAUCCGGUGUUUAUUCUCUUAAUGGAACGUCUCAUCAUUCCAAUGGCCUCAAAAAAUGACUUCACAGUUUCCUUAAUCUGAAAGGCUCGAAAUAAUUAGCUCGAAAUCCAUCGGCAAACAGGCAAGAGGUUUGUAAAACAGGUUUUAAAUCCCACAUAUUGGAUAACACAUCCUGAAAAUUUUCUAACUCCGGACAUGAGCUCAACUGACCCCUAAGAAGCCGGGGUCUCUAAUGUUCUCUGGGCUUCUUUCAAAGUAAACUUGGUUUGAGCUUAAAAAAGUAAUUUAUUUGCAGACCCCAGCUUAAAUCGGCCACACUAGGCCACCAGAGUUGCACAUUUGGUUUGUCUCUUAAAGUUUUUUGUUUGACUUGGCUUUCGCCCAGAUCUCUCACAAAAAUUAGAACAACAAUUCCCUUUAGAAGUUCAGGGUCACACCAGGCAAUCCGACUCAUUUAGCUGAUCCACAUUAGAGUAAAAUAACAUAUUUAUAUAUAUGUAAGAACACAAUCACAGCCUGACUGAAAGUAAACAUUUAUGGAUUGAUCUGAUUUAAAACUGUCAAAAGGCUGAAGUUUGACCCCUUUUCUAACAGUAUAUGGCAUUAUAAAAAUGGGUCAGGAGCUUUGUAUUUACAUUUACCCGUCCCACCUCUAUUCUAACCCUGAUAAGCGCUGGGAAAUGGGAUGGGGCAAUUCAGUCAUAGGACCCAGAUUUACCACUCUUUAGAUAAUGUUAUCAUUUUUCAUCUAUGAUUGGCACAUUGAAUGCCUUAGGCGAUUACACACUCCCUUCCUGCUUUUGCACCACCUGAAUGAUCUGACAUGAACUGAAUGCUUUGAUAAAUCAGACCUGAUGUGGAAAGACAGUCCAGCCUUGCUGGAGAGGCCCAGACUACAGCAGAUGGCUGAAACCCAAUCCUCUACGCUCCUGCCAGACCGGCUCGGUAUUUUUCCUCUAUGCAAAUGUACCAGAGAUUUGGAAAUACAGCAACAAUGAAAUCCUGGUGUCAGCAGAACAUCUGAGAAUUGGACCAUGGGAACCACACAGGGGAGAGUGCCCAGGUUGGCUGUGUUUGGCGCUGUGGUUGUGUGGGUUGGAAAGCAGUGAGAGCGUGUCUUUUUAAGUGAGAAGGUCCCUUGUGUCUUUCUACUCACUGAGACAAGUGUGUCUCCUCCAGACCACAGGCAUGGAUCUCUACAAGACAUCAUCCUGACACGCUUUCUUUCUGUCAAGCGUUGUUUCCAAAACACUUUGAAGAUAUUUAAUCUUUGCUCUCAUAACUCAAUUUAUGGGUCAGUAAAUCGUGACCUAAAUGUUUACGUUUCAUAAUAAUUUUCCAGUCAUCCAAUGAAACAAACCACACGUUUCUCUAGUAAUGCUCUCAUAUUAUGUGAACUACUUUCUCCUUUAUGAGCAUCAAUGAAACAUCCAGUGUAGUCCAAUUCAAAAUCGAGUUUAAACCUUAAUGAAUAAAUAAAUACACAUAAAUACAAUUUUGUACAGAUGGCUAUAUGCUCUUCUCCUACGGCAACUCAAGAUGCUGUUUGGAUAAUCUCAAAUCAUGAUGGAAAACAUGAUCAUUGGGUUUUAUACAAAUAUGUGGCGUUCAAGCACCUUGAGUGCUGCUAUUAAAGCAAAAAGUGCUAAACCAAAUACUAGGACAUUCUGAAAUUCAUGUUAUUUUUUUAAGCUUUUCACUAAAAUUGUUAUAGAAUAGAAUAGAAUAGAAUAGAAUAGAAUAGAAUAUUACAAACUUCUGAUUUUUACACUUUACGUAUAUAUUUCAUACACAGUUUAAUAAAAUAAAAUAUGAUAUAUAAAUAUAAUAAGUACUUUCACUAGUGGUCAGAAUUUUUAGAUACCACUUAUGUAUGUAUGUAUUUUGUUCAUAGCUUUUGACACACUUUAUCACUCAUUCCAUUUGGAACCAGAUGGAUUCCAUCACAUUUUGUUGGACAGCGAGUCACUGAUUUUUACAGUAAAGCAUUCAAAAUGAAAGGGUGAUGGUAUUGUGUUCCAAAAAGUAAAAGGCCCAAAGUAAAAUAAAUAAAUAAAUAGUAAUAAUAAUAAAAGAAAUGUAUCAGCAAUUCAGCAUAAACCACAGCCUUCAAACGAACAAAGUGGAAGAGGUCACAAAAGAGGUGUUUACUUGUCACCCAUAUCCCAGGGGUGUGCGGUCGGGUGAGGCAGCGGGGUGUCAGGCUGUGUGUUUUGCUGCUUGUUAUUGAGGAGACAGCUGGAGCAUAAUGCUGUGCUCACCCCUCGGCUUGGUUCCCACAGGUGCAGGAAUCUGUCACAACAAUCUCUGCACUGACUCGCUCAAGGCCACUGACCUCUAACAUGCCUGUCUUUGAGAAAGCUGCUGCUCUCUUGUCUUGACCACUGAAAAUAGCAUCUGACCAAACCAUUCAACAAAGCAUUCGCACAUCCGAUGGUAUAAUGUUACAUAUCUCUGCAUUUCCAGGGAAUUUCAUUCUAUUCACCUACAUAAAGAAUUUGUUAUUAUUUAAAAAGGAAUAAGAAAAGGCUCUUUUUUUUUCCUUUUUUUUUUUAAGAAAUGAUUUCCAUAAUUUACACUUUGACUCCACCCUGUGUUCAAAACGAAUACUGCAGCAGGAUGAACUUUCCGUUGAAUGGACAUUCAAAGACGUUUCUUUUCCAUUUUAUUUUUAUUUUUUUUUAAUCCACAGCAGAAUCACAAAUAUGGAAGGGGCACACUGAGCAUUAAAUCUUUGAGCACUUCCCAUGUGCUGAUGCUCAUUUCCCGACAUAACUCAGACACAGCAUUUUUAAAAGGAUCACUAAAGACAUUAGCAGAAUAAUUCACUGCAGAAACAUGAAAUCCCAACGCUUAUUCUGGAUCUAGUCAAUGUCAUCCUGUAGCUGAAGCUGCCUUAUAGCAGACAGAGCUUUAUAGGCAUUUUGACACAUUGCUUUAAUCUUCGUUAUCCAUGUUUCCUGUGUUGUGAAUUCAUUUAGUUCUGGGGCUGGAUCCCAUCACACCGUCCGUGCUGCACUCAUGUCAGUGUAUGCUGCUUGUACAGAUUACAUACAAAAGAUUACACAAUCUUUUAUUUUCUAGAUUUGAUCUAACACAAUGACAUGUUUCUAGGUAAUAGUGUGAUGUCUGAUGAAGAGCUUUUAUGCUCGAAAAGUCACCUGUAUAAUAUGCACUAUAAAUGCACUAUCAACUAUAUAUGACACCCAUAAUCUGCUGCUCUGCCCUGUUGAGGUUUUAAUAUGAAUUGUAUUUAGUAUAUAAGAAUAAAAGUUAUACUUGUAUUCAU